GGAGUAUGUGGUUUAAUUCGAUGCAACGCGAAGAACCUUACCUACCCUUGACAUGUCCGGAACUUGCCAGAGAUGGCUUGGUGCCCGAAAGGGAAUCGGAACACAGGUGCUGCAUGGCUGUCGUCAGCUCGUGUCGUGAGAUGUUGGGUUAAGUCCCAUAACGAGCGCAACCCUUAUCGUUAGUUGCCAGCUGGUAAAGCAGGGGACUCUAGCGAAACUGCCACCGUAAGGUGAGAGGAAGGUGGGAUGACGUCAAAUCAGCACGGCCCUUAUGUCCAGGGCUACACACGUGUUACAAUGGCCGGCACAGAGGGCAGCUACCUGGUGACAGGAUGCUAAUCUCGAAAACCGGUCUCAGUUCGGAUCGAAGUCUGCAACUCGACUUCGUGAAGCUGGAUUCGCUAGUAAUCGCGCAUCAGCCAUGGCGCGGUGAAUACGUUCCCGGGCCUU
rnacentral:rRNA from 1 species